AUACUUACCUGGAAGGAGAGAUACCAUGGCCACUAAGGUGGUUUUCUCCCAGCAAGACUCAUCCAUUGCACUUUAGGUUCACUGAUCCCUGCGAUUUCUCCAAACACGGGACACUCUGCAUAAUUUGUGAUAGUGGGAGACUGUGUCCACUCUCUCCCU